UCCCCCUCUUCAUUUUCACAUAAGAAAUCAGAAAAGCCUAAAUAGUAUUGCCAUCGGUCUGUAAUUUUCUUUCAUAUACUGAUAAUUUGCUCCGUAGCGCCGUGUUGAUUUCUUUGGCAAGGAAUUAUCUGCCUGAACCAAAUAGCAGUGGCAAAGAUACAAUAACAUAGCAACGAAAAAUAACACUCCUGACAAAAAGAAACGAAAAUUAU
rnacentral:lncRNA from 1 species